CGGAGGCAGCAGUGGGGAAUAUUGCGCAAUGGGGGAAACCCUGACGCAGCGACGCCGCGUGGGCGAUGAAGGCCUUCGGGUCGUAAAGCCCUUUUGGCAGGGACGAGUGAGGACGGUACCUGUCGAAUAAGUCUCGGCUAACUACGUGCCAGCAGCCGCGGUAAAACGUAGGAGGCGAGCGUUAUCCGGAUUCACUGGGCGUAAAGCGCACGUAGGCGGUUGGUUAAGUCGGGCGUGAAAGCCCCUGGCUCAACUGGGGGAGGUCGUCCGAUACUGGCCGGCUUGAGGGCGAGAGAGGGGAGUGGAAUUCCCGGUGUAGCGGUGGAAUGCGUAGAGAUCGGGAGGAACACCAGUGGCGAAAGCGGCUCCCUGGCUCACCCCUGACGCUGAGUGUGCGAAAGCGUGGGGAGCAAACGGGAUUAGAUACCCUAGUAA
rnacentral:rRNA from 1 species